UACGUAGGUGGCAAGCGUUUGUCCGGAUUUAUUGGGUUUAAAGGGUGCGUAGGCGGUUUUGUAAGUCAGUGGUGAAAUACUCCAGCUUAACUGGAGGGGUGCCAAUGAUACUGCAGAACUUGAGUACAGAUGAGGUAGGCGGAAUUGACGGUGUAGCGGUGAAAUGCAUAGAUAUCGUCAAGAACACCGAUAGCGAAGGCAGCUUACUGGGCUGUAAACUGACGCUGAGGCACGAAAGUGUGGGGGAUCAAACAGG
rnacentral:rRNA from 1 species